rnacentral:lncRNA from 1 species
GGAUAAGACCAUCAAGAUGAAAACAUCAGUUGGGCACACGGCCCUUCCAGCCUCUCACAUCAUGAGAUAAGAAUGCUGGCAUUUAUGGUCUGUUCAAUAUUUGAUCAGGAAAAGGAAUUCACUGGAAACAUCAGACUGGGGAACUCAUGGGAGAGAGAAAAAGACACCCCACAGAGCCAUCUGGUCACUUGGCUGAUCUAAACAUGCCACCUGUGGACCACCAGACACACUCUGAUCAUCACAGUCCAGCCAAGCAGUUGUAUAAAGAUGCUUCUCUGUGGACUAAAGACAUGUGAAAAUAUGGUCUGAGGAUUUCUGUGCCUAGCACUGUGCCACCCUUUUGUGCUGAAGCAGGUGAGGGAGUUGGAUUCUGCACAGAGCUCACCGUCUGGUGGAAAACACCAAGGGUCCCAUGGGUGGGAACCACAACCUUGGUGAUGGCAGGGCCCCUUGCUGAGGCCCUCGGCUCCACAGACCACACAUCAUUAUUUGCAAAUGCUGAAGGCCUUUCUGAAGCCGCGUGGAAUUUCCUUCCCAACGCCAGAGUUUAGAAACCAGUAAAACAACCUUCCUAGAAUUACUGAUGAGAAGACAGCA